AUUUGGUGUCUAUGUGAAACUUGCGUGGGUGUCAAAUUUUGACCUCCCUCGCCUCACUACACUUCCUGCGAGCAGGAAACUAUCAAAGCACUCCGACAAUCUGCUAUCUGAUGCGAAACCUCGCUAUCUAGUCAAGCUGGAACUGAUUGGAGGAGUUGAUCCACUUGCUAGAGAACACCACGUUUCCUCCUGUCUACAGUUCGGACAUUGUCUCCUAUCUAGUCCUUCAGACGAGCUUCAUAGCAGCCAAACAGGUUACAGUCCGCGAAUGCAAAUCUUUGAAGUUUACUACCAGUCUAGAAUUGGCUGGGUGAAAGAUGUCCGUGCGCAUGUUGAGGGAGUUCUAGGUGUUGUGGAAACCUCAGUGUAUGUAUCCUAUCGGACAAUCUUUGUCAGCUCUAAGUGAGAGGAUUGUGAAAGAGAAUACAGUCAUGUAUGUUGCAAUUUAAUGUGAGAGUUCAAUAAUCUUUGGUAGACAAUCAAGUGACACUUGGGAAAUGUAAAGGAAGUGGACAUGCUAUGAUAAUGUAACACGAAUAGCAUAGCAUUGUGCUAUAGUAGAGUAAGUUCUAUAGCUACAUGUAGAAUAUUGUAAGACACCCCACAGUCUGAAAUUUUACAGGUUCCUCAUUCUCAAGAAUGCAAUAAAACACCUCACUUCAUGGUUGAUUUGUGAAAAUUAAGACAGGAGAUGUCGUGCACAU